GAGACUAUGUAAUGUGAAAUAAAUAAGACACACGUGUUUAAAUAUUGCAUGAUUUCUCUUAUAUGAUACCAAAAAUAUAAAGAACAAAAUAAACGAUGAUAAGAAAUAGAGAGAUAUUUUUAAAAAGGUAAGGAGAACAAGACAUGGAGGGAGAGGGGAGGAAUGGGAGAAGGGGAGAAAAACAAUUAAGAUGUGUUAUGUAUAUAUACCCACACCCCACAAUGAAUGUAUUCAUUACAUACUGCAAAUAUGUACUAAUAAAAAUAAAAAUUUCAAAAAAGCAGUAACUCAUGGUCCUACUUUACUAGCACAAAGCCACCAUCCCAGCUCUUAUAAAAAGCAGUAUCAGAAGAAAGAGCAAAUAAAAAUAAAUAAAUAAUACACUGCGUUGAUAUUUGUGUAACAAAAAAAGAGGGAGGAAGGGGAGAUUUAAGAGGGUGUGAGGGGCGUGUAAGUCAAAGCGGGGGAAAGGGAGUUUAAAUGUAACGUGAUGGAGGGCUCAGGGUACCUCGGUGUGGAAGGAAGAACGUUACCUGGACUUGGUAAUGACUAUGGAGGUCAGAGCAAUAAUCGGAUGCCUUCCUCUCAAUGUCUCACAAACACCCUCACCCCGACUUUCAAAAAGCAACACCAGAUAAAGAAAAGAAAAAACAAAAGCCCACGAAAACAAACAGUCCUCUCGCACACUACAGUCAGAACUGGACCAGGCCACUCUUUUCCUGUGUUCCAUACGAAGGGACCCUGCACGGCGGGGGGGCCGAGCCGCGGCCUGUGGUGCUGGCUGGGAGCUGGGUGUGCCCACCACGCUCCAGCUGGUUCCCUGCAAUCCACCUGUGCUCCUGUCUACCAAAGGCUAAAGGGGCUGGAGAAUGCCGACGGACCACCCAAACUGCCUCUCAUGCCCACAGGCGGCAGAGCGUUGCUGGAUUUCGGGCAGCUCCCCUACGUGUGCCCGGAUGGAAGCCUGGCCUCUGUCCUCUGACCAGGCGACCAGGCGCCUUCGAGUGGGUGGAGGUGGGCUGGGCACAGCGGGGCAGUCUGGCACCAGCCCGCUGUGCUCUGGAGCGGCUUCCCCUAUCUCAGUCCCCUUCCGUCCACACUGGUUCCUGCGGCCGUCUUCUUCUGCUCAUUCCAUGCCUUACGAGCACUGUGCUCUGCGCCAACCCUUCCGUGUCCCCUCUUCUCCAGGUUUUUCCACUGCAUUUUAAAACAAUGCCUCGUCGUAAAUCAGCACGCGCCGUAAAUCACUGCUUCAUUUUACGUCUAUGCCUCGCCACCUGUCUGCUUUUCAUCAGUGUCGUGGUGGCCACUGGCAGAAAAGGACUCCUUGCUUAUUGGGCCAUCCCCAGGGCAACGGGGCAGCUAGUCUCUCUGGAUUUCACCUGGAUACGUCCACUCUCGGGCUGUGAUCUCCUGAAUUUCGGUCUCCUUCCAGAGUCCCACAGGGGCAAUUCACCAGAAUUAGAAGAGACAAUUCUUUGGAAAUGCCAGAGAUCACACUGAACUUCCUUUUGGCAGGCUAACAUGUUUCAGCCAGUCACUCUGAGGAAUUAGAUACUAACAGAACCCUUUUGGAAGUCAGGUCACCUGAUAUUAAAUCGUGUCCUCUUUAGUGGGUGUUUCUACUUCUUCCAUGAAGAAACAAGUGCCAACAUCAAUAUGUCCAAUAAGGAUUCUUUUGCUCAGUUCAGAAGGAAAUCAUGAAUCAGUAAAGUAUUGUUCUCAGCUCCUAGUUCCAGUGGCCUUUGGUUCUUACAGUUACACAUCUCAGCAGCUCCGAGCUGUCCUAUCAGCUCUUCAGCAGCUGAGGUUUCCAGGCCCCCUUUGGCAGCUUUUUGGAUUUCUUCCACCAGCUUCUCCUGCCUCUUUGGGAUACUCCACAGAUCCAUUCAAGUCUCCCCUGUUGUCUACCAGUUGCCACAGCCAGUUGGUGCUGGCUGGUGACAGUUACCAUCAGUAGAUGCUGCUAGUCUCUUCUCGUCUCUGUGGCUGGUUGCUGCAUCGCGAUCUUCAUCCGUUGCUGCUGGUCUCUAGCACUCUUCCAGGCUAGCAGCCCGGAGUGUUACCAACUCUUUUCAGUGCAACCUGCUCUGUGCACAUUACCUGCUAAGAAUCAUGAGUAGUUUUAAGGACCACAGGAAUGAGACUUUAUUUGGAAUUGUGUUGCCACACAAACUGGUGGACACUGGAAGGUGCCCUCCUGGACUAAUCCAGGGGCCAUGAGGGAGCACUGCUACAGAAGGGCAGCAGACCACACAUGAUCAGUUUUGUACAUUUCUCAGACCUGCUUGAGAACUUUGUAGACAUGGGGGUGGGGAGGCAAAGGAUAAACAGGAGCCAUCAGGAGUGGCUGCAGGGCGGAGUCAUCUGGGAUUGGUCUGAGUUUCAAGCCUGCUGAGGCCUCAGCAAAUACCUCCUGGAAGAGCUGCAGGGCACUUAGGAGCACUCUGGCGGUUCUGAACUUUAGGACCAGAGGCUGCUUGAUUGACAAUUGUUGCCUCUUCUUGAAGAUAGUGGGGCUGAAAUUGAGACUUUCACCAAUUUUGAGAAUUCUUUAGCAGGAUUAGCCAUGUUCAUCAUAUCCUAUUAGGGUUUAGCAAUUUUGGGGAAAUUCACAAUGAGGCUAGUCCCUGCUCCAUCUUUGCCCUGUCAGGCAUGGUUUCUCAGCUGCCUUUCAAAGAGGGAGCAGCAAUUCCUGGAGCUGGGGAGGACAGCUGUCAUUCAAGCUGUGACUCCUGUGGACCUGGCCAGAGGGUGGCCGCCACAGCAGCCACAGAGGUGGUGGCCUCCUGGAGCUAAUCACCCCAGACCACCCUGGAAUAGGCACCAGGGAAGGCAAGGGGGGAGUGUGACAAGCUGCCAGUUGGAUUAUGCCUCCACCCGGCUGACACAGGGAAAAGAGAGGUGUCGGACCUCAUUUCUUUUUCAUCUCAGAAAUAGUUCAUUUUUAAUUGCCCCUCCAUUUCUUGAUUUUUAGGAAUUAUAACCAAGACCUGACACCCAGCCCUUGAAAAAUGAUGAAAGCAAGAAGAAGAAUACAUGACAGGAGUAAAAUGUGGGUUCUAAAGUAUGAAUCACUUGGGAGUUACGUGGAUAUUAAAAUUUUAUUAGCUCAUUCAAUAGAGUAAUUCCUAAAAUAUAUUUUCAGACUACAAGUUAAUUCUUGAAAAAUGAAUUAGAUCAUUUAUAUUGCAAGAUCCUUUAUAAAAUAUUUAAAAUUUUAAUUCCUAUUAAAUUUAGGAAAAGGGUCAUACUUCCCCUAUUUCUUUUUUUUUUUUUUUUCCAGUACUGGGGAUCAAACUCAGGACCUUACGCUUGCAAGGCAGGUGUGGUGCCACUGAUCUAAAUCCCUAGCUCUAGUUUUUAUUCUGAAUAUACACUGCCAAUUAUCAUUGUAUUGUAUGUUUUAAAUAAAUAUCCAUACCAUUUCUCCUCAUUCUUUUAGAAGCCAUAGUGACAGGUACCUCUUUUCAUAAACUUGUUUUUUGCAUCCAAACCUGUGAGCAAAUGAAAACUUUUUCUUGUUAUAAGUUGAUCAUGUCAUGUAUGUGCUAUACUGGCAGCAAGCUAACACAUUAUCUUUCAUAGAUGAGGAGAUGGAGCUCUAAAAUAAUCAGUCACCUGCUCAAGGUCACAUAGAUCCUGCCUUCACAGCCUCAAGUAGAAGGAUUACCCACCAGAACCAAAUCAAAAAAUGCUUUUAUAUAUUCAACAAGUAGUCACACCAAAUCAAAUUUUGGGAUUUUUUUUUCACUCUGAGUUUAUUUCAAAUGUGAAUUUCAGAAGAUGUGCAAUGUUGCUUUUGUGUCUUUGCAUCUCACUGUUUUUAACAUUUACAAUACGGUAUGAUCUCAAAUACAUUUAAGAAUGAAGUAGAAUUUUUUUCUUCUAAAGUAGUCAUUCAUUUUCUUUUAAUUGCUUUUCUAUAUAUCAAAUUACUUCCAGUUACCAUUAAAUCUCAUAAUGCCCAUCUGUGUAAAUACAUAUAGAUACUAUGCCAAAGAACUAUAAAACAGGGAGAAAUCCUUUUGGCAUUCACUAAGAUUUUCCAUUUCCUUUGAAUUUGAUUUUCCUUCUCUACUAAGCAAAAAUGAAAGCAUAUAAUUAGCUAAUUUGAUAUUCAGGGUUAAAUUUGCUAUUUUAUUUUCUAUAUUAAUUUCCUCCAACAUAUCUGUGGCCUCCAUUUUUAUGAAGAAGCAGCUCAUCCCAAUGAUAUUUAAACACUAAUUAUUUCCCUUUAAUGUCUGAAAAGGAGCACACACUCAAAUUUUAACUUUCCAGUUUUUUCUCUUUUAUUCCCCAUGGUGUUCUCAAGCCGAUUAAAUUACGUGCAGAAGAUGAUGCUGAGUUUGCUCACACAGCCUGCCAAAACAAACUCCUGCUAAAAUAGUAUGUCUACUUAUGUCUCACUAAGUAAACUAGCGCUCCUGAAGUUUUAUAAUUUGGUAUUAGAACUAAAAUUAAAAUGGUGUCUGGAAAUGUCAGACUGUUAAAUGAUACAUAUGAUGUCAUCUUACAAAAUUCCUCUACUUUAAUGUUACUUUGCUUGCCAAUUACUGUAUUGAAAAUUACUGUGUAUUAAGAACCUACAGAGUCAGCCAUAAAGAAUGAGAAACUAGCUAAAUGGAUGCACACUGAGGCCAUACUCUGAAGUGAAAUAAAUAGGACAAGCAUGUAAAUACUGAAUAGUUUCUCUGGUGUGAGAAACUGAAAGUGUAAAUAAGGAUUAAAAUGAAUAUUUGAUCAUGUGAAAUAGGAAGAAAAGGUGCAAAGAAAAGGGGAAGUCAGAAGAAGGGAAAGGAAAAAAUAUGAUAAAAGGAAAAAAAGGAAAUAAAGUCUUUGUAAAUAGGGAAAGGUGGAGG
rnacentral:lncRNA from 1 species